GAUCCAAGGAGGCAAUGUAUUGAGGAUAAUUCUUUUUCUAGUGCCCCUGCUUCUUGCAGUAGAAGUAUUCCGCCUGACUCUGGUUGGACUUGGAUUUCUUGAUCUGACUGAGUUUGAUUGCCCCAGCACUUUGUACUUUUUUCUUGUUCUUCUUAUUCUUCUUUUCUUUCUUAAAGGAUCAACGUCCAGAAGAAGACCCUCCCACAAUAUUCACUGACUCCUUUUGGAGCUGGUGAUCC
rnacentral:lncRNA from 1 species